rnacentral:rRNA from 1 species
GCGACUCCAGGUCAGGCGGGACUACCCGCUGAGUUUAAGCAUAUCAAUAAGCGGAGGA